rnacentral:ncRNA from 1 species
AUAUGUCGGUGAGGUUAUGGUUCUUCCUUCCGGUUUGACCGGGGGAAGCUAAGAGGGAAUCCGGUGCGAAUCCGGAGCUGUCCCGCAACUGUAAGCGGCGAGUGCAUCGUCGAUUUUUGUCACUGGCUCGGCCGGGAAGACAGACGAUGCACGGCGACCCGCGAGUCAGGAGACCUGCCUAACCUUUGUAAGCUUU